CUCCUCCUCCUUUCUCUUCUCCUCCUUCCUCUCCUCUUCCUCCUUCCUCUCCUCUUCCUCCUUCCUCUCAUCCUUCUGUCCUCCACUUUUCUCUCCUCCUCCUCCUCCUCCAGAGGGAAGCGUAACAUGCAGGCUCACAGCAACAGCCAAAUUAAAGCAGGUUCAACACCAUCUCCUCCUAGAUGUCUAAGGGUUGUUCAUACGCGUGGAAAAUGUGUUUACCUGACUCUGAUGUCAAGCUGAUUGAGACCAGUGGAACCUAUCUGCCAAAGAGCCGUCAUGGAGGACACAGCCAGGCCUCAUCCACCGUGUCAACAACAAGUAAUAAGCAGAGGUCUGGGCCAUCAAUCUCGUCAGCAGGUUUAACAGGGGAUUGAUGGGUUAAUCAGAGGAAGAGCCAAAGCCAAGCAGUUGCUACAAGGAACCUCUCCUUCACCUGAAUGAUUAUGUUCUAAAUGAGAAGGCUUUGUUUAUCAUUUUUUAAAUACUAUUGUCACAGUUAUAGACAAGUGCUAAUUUAGUUUCUAUUAUCACGAGACAACAAACCCGUCCAAUAGAAUUUUCACUCUUUUUCUUUAUGGGGCUAAUCGUUCCUCUUCUUUCUG
rnacentral:lncRNA from 1 species